GUAGGUGGCAAGCGUUAUCCGGAAUUAUUGGGCGUAAAGCGCUCGCAGGCGGUCUUUUAAGUCUGAUGUGAAAGCCCACGGCUCAACCGUGGAGGGUCAUUGGAAACUGGGAGACUUGAGUGCAGAAGAGGAGAGUGGAAUUCCACGUGUAGCGGUGAAAUGCGUAGAGAUGUGGAGGAACACCAGUGGCGAAGGCGACUCUCUGGUCUGUAACUGACGCUGAGGAGCGAAGGCGUGGGGGGGAGCGAACAGGAUUAGAUACCCUGGUAGUCCACGCCGUAAACCGAUGAGUGCUAAGUGUUAGAGGGUUUCCCGCCCUUUAGUGCUGCAGCAAACGCAUUAAGCACUCCCGCCUGGGAGUACGGUCGCAAGACUG
rnacentral:rRNA from 1 species